GUGAAUCAUCAAAUCUUUGAACGCACAUUGCACUCUCUGGUAUUCCGUAGAGUAUGCCUGUUUGAGGGUAAUUAAAAACAUUCUUUAACCAAUUUUGUUGGUCGUAGGUUAUGAGUUCUCCGCGUUUAUAGCGGUAACUUGAAAUAAAUGGGCAAGUCUCAUUUUAGUGGAGACUCGUAAUAAUAUUAUUUCGCGAUAACUUCAUUAUGUGACUAUCAAGUUUUGAUGCAUACAAAUUUGGUUUGUAGGCGAUCAAUACAAAUAUUUUGAACAUUACCUCAAAUCAGGAAUG
rnacentral:misc_RNA from 1 species